AGAUUCCACAGAUGUUCGUAGUGCUCUCAGCCAAGUGGAGACAGGGAAUGAUCAAAACAGCCUAGAUUUCAACAGGCAGGAAGAAGAUAGUGGACAAAACAGAGGAAAUGGAACAAAAAGAGCUCAGAAAGGAGAGAGUGACUCAGCUCAAUGGGACAAUG